UAAAAGCAGACACACCUCAUUGAACAGAAACAUAUUCCACAUUCUGCUCUCUAACCAUGGCAAUACACUUUGCACUUUUACUCCUGUCAGCUCUUGGAGGUGACACAUUUGCAGAUGAUAUUACUGCCAUCAGAGCUGAAGUGUAUUCAUCUCAGGGCCGCAGCGUCACUCUAUCCUGUAACUAUUCAGUUAAAGCUAAUAAUCUCCAGUGGUAUCGACAGUAUCCUGGAUCAGCUCCUCAGUUCCUUCUCCUGAUCACAGACACAACAACUCCUACUGUAGUGGAAGCAGAACCUCCAAUCCCUCGAAUGUCUGUUCAGCUGAAACAGAAGAGAAAUCGUGUGGAUCUGGAGAUCUCCUCAGCUGAAGUGACAGACUCUGCUCUGUACUACUGUGCUGUGAGGAAACUGUCUAAAGACAAGCGUGGUGUGGAUCUGGAGAUCUCCUCUGCUGCAGUGACACACUCUGCUCUGUACUACUGUGCUGUG